rnacentral:rRNA from 1 species
GAUGAACGCUGGCGGCGUGCCUAAUACAUGCAAGUCGAACGCUUCACUUCGGUGAAGAGUGGCGAACGGGUGAGUAAUACAUAAGUAACCUGGCAUCUACAGGGGGAUAACUGAUGGAAACGUCAGCUAAGACCGCAUAGGUGUAGAGAUCGCAUGAACUCUAUAUGAAAAGUGCUACGGGACUGGUAGAUGAUGGACUUAUGGCGCAUUAGCUUGUUGGUAGGGUAACGGCCUACCAAGGCGACGAUGCGUAGCCGACCUGAGAGGGUGACCGGCCACACUGGAACUGAGACACGGCCCAGACUCCUACGGGAGGCAGCAGUAGGGAAUUUUCGGCAAUGGGGGAAACCCUGACCGAGCAACGCCGCGUGAAGGAAGAAGUAAUUCGUUAUGUAAACUUCUGUCAUAGAGGAAGAACGGUGGAUAUAGGGAAUGAUAUCCAAGUGACGGUACUCUAUAAGAAAGCCACGGCUAACUACGUG